rnacentral:rRNA from 1 species
AGAGUUUGAUCCUGGCUCAGGAUGAACGCUAGCGGCAGGCUUAACACAUGCAAGUCGAGGGGCAGCAUAAUGGAUAGCAAUAUCUAUGGUGGCGACCGGCGCACGGGUGCGUAACGCGUAUGCAACCUACCUUUAACAGGGGGAUAACACUGAGAAAUUGGUACUAAUACCCCAUAACAUCAUGAAAGGCAUCUUUUAUGGUUGAAAAUUCCGAUGGUUAGAGAUGGGCAUGCGUUGUAUUAG